AGGAGGAAGGGGUGAAGGUGGGUGAGAUCCGCUUCAAGAAUCACUAUGUCGGCAUUCUCACCGUCAGAGCCAAGUUCCGCUCAGCAGAAAACAAUGGAGAACCAGGGGAACUUAAAUGGCGGACAUGUUUGCGGCGCAUGAAGUUGAUGCCGAGCCCACAUACAGAGUCCGGCUCUCAGGACUAUUUCAGCCUGACCCGUAAACACGUAAGCUAAAUAAUAAUAAUAGUGAUGGUGGUGAUGGUGAUGGUGGUGAUGGUGGUGA